rnacentral:rRNA from 1 species
UACGGAGGGUGCUAGCGUUGUUCGGAAUUACUGGGCGUAAAGGGCGCGUAGGCGGCCGUUUGCGUCGGAUGUGAAAGCCCGGGGCUCAACCUCGGAACGGCAUUCGAUACGGGACGGCUGGAGACCGGGAGAGGAGAGUGGAAUACCUGGUGUAGAGGUGAAAUUCGUAGAUAUCAGGUGGAACACCAGUGGCGAAGGCGGCUUCUGGACGGUAACUGACGCUGAGACGCGAAAGCGUGGGGAGCAAACAGG